CCAGAGUCUCAGACUGUGGUGAAGGAAGGCGGGACUCGGGAGCAGGAACUACACAACUCCGCCAGAACGUGAUCGUCCUCUAGGACUUAAAGGUACAACAGAGGAGACAAUCUGUAAACGCUGGAAAACAAAAGGUAUAAAGAGCUCCAUUCGCUUUCCGUUAAAAUAACAAAGGUUAUUGCAAAGAGGGCUUCGUAUUCUUAUUCUAUCCAUUGUGGGAUGUAUCAUGUAUAUGAAAAAGUAUUUGUCUGAUCUUUAUCUUUAAUUGAAUUUGUGCUUUUCUUUCC